rnacentral:rRNA from 1 species
UACGUAGGGCGCAAGCGUUGUCCGGAAUUACUGGGCGUAAAGGGCGCGUAGGCGGUCGUGACAAGUCACUUGUGAAAUCUCCGGGCUUAACUCGGAACGGUCAAGUGAUACUGUCGGACUAGAGUACAGAAGGGGCAACUGGAAUUCUCGGUGUAGCGGUGAAAUGCGUAGAUAUCACUUGGAACGCCAAUGGUGAAAACAGGUAGCUGGGGAUGUGCCGACGCUGAGACACGAAAGCCAGGGGAGCGAACGGG